GAAGCAAUUUGCUCUCCGCACCGCGCCACAGCGAGGUAGCCAGUACCUUCGGACUGUGGCUGCCUGGCCCUGUUAGACAAGCUGACUGUGAAGUUAUAUGGAGAGAAAAGACACCAGGCACAUGAACCUGUGUUCUACAUACCGCUGGGUAUGGUGAAAGAAGGAAAGUCAAGGCACGGACCUACUGUGGGUCAUGUGGUAGACACACGGUUAAAAGUCUCUGCUAUUGAAUCUGACCUAUCCCCUCAGGCUCCUGUUUUAACCUUGGCUCCCUGCUUCUGGCACUGUUUUGAAGGCUUGGGCUGAGCUGCCUUAAAGUUUACUCCUGCCUCUGGUUCUCCUUGCUUUCUCUAAUUCUGUAUUGCUACCGUGUAAGCCGUCCUCCACUCCAUGCUUCUCCCUGCCACAGACAGCUGCCAUGAAUUCUGCCAUGCCUUCCCUGUGUGAGAGACUGAAACAAGAGCCAAAAUAGAUAUUUCUUCCUUUAAGCUGCUUCUGUUGGGGCAUUUUGCUCACAGCAGCACAAAAGAAGCUAGUACGGUCUUUAACACUUCUGCCAUGAGAGAGGCUCCAACCUUUCUGGCUCCCUCAAAUCUAGAUUGGCUUUUAUGAUUUGCCUGGCCAGCAGAUUUUAAAGGAUGUCACAGUCUGGGGUUCCUGUGUCACGAGAAGCCUUGACGCUUCUUUACAACUGUCUCAGAGCACUUGCUCUGGGGAAAGCCAGGUGCCAUCAGAGAAUUCCACGUCUCUGAAGUUGCCAUACUGGAAGGUAGCUGGGCUCCAACCUUUCUAGUCCACAGCCAUUCACUUGGGUACCAGAUAAGAAGCCAAGAAAAGGAGUCCCUGUGAUACACAGCUACUAGUUUAUGAGCAUAAUAAGUAGGAGUACUAGUUUAAGCCAGAAAGUUGGGGAAUGGCUGAUUACACGAUAGAAAACUGUAACGCAUCCUGUAACUCACUCUCGACAAGGACAAGAAGUCUAGUGAUGUAGACCCAAUUAAGAAUUCAUCAAGGGGGACUGGAGAGAUGGCUCAGUGGUUAAGAGCACCAACUGCUCUUCCUGAGGUCCUGAG
rnacentral:sRNA from 1 species